rnacentral:rRNA from 1 species
UACGUAGGGUGCAAGCGUUAAUCGGAAUUACUGGACGUAAAGCGUGCGCAGGCGGUGAUGUAAGACAGUUGUGAAAUCCCCGGGCUCAACCUGGGAACUGCAUCUGUGACUGCAUCGCUGGAGUGCGGCAGAGGGGGAUGGAAUUCCGCGUGUAGCAAUGAAAUGCGUAGAUAUGCGGAGGAACACCGAUGGCGAAGGCAAUCCCCUGGGCCUGCACUGACGCUGAGGAGCGAAAGCCAGGGGAGCAAACGGG